GAGAAUGUUAUUAUGACAAUGUACCCGAAGACGGAAGAUGUGAGUAAAUUAUUAAUUGAUGCCGUCUUAUGUGACACCUAAUAGUUAGUAUCAAUACAAUACUAAAAGGGGGAUAAUCUCAACUCUCAGCCUAUCCACGUAAGCAUAAAUAAUCAACCUAUCACAAAGCUUUAAGUUGCCAGCUCGACAUGUCCUAUUUCUUCGUUGCAAACAAGCGGAUGAUUUGAAACCAAUCGUCUCUUCACUUUUCUUUUCGUCUCAGUGCAUCCUUUAAUAAUAGUCUGUCUGCCUCCCUCUCCACUUCAAAUCCCUAAAUCCCCAAGCAUCACCCUAUCUAUAGUAUUCCCGUCUCUCUCUCACCGGCUCCACAUUCUGGAAACCAAAACCCACCGCAUCCAUGGCUAACAACCACCAACUCCUCCAAACCUUUGUUCAUUCAUCUCCCGGAGAAAAGAUCCCGAGUAGCCUACGAAAGCUUCUCUCUAGAACCAACGAGGCUUCUUUAUCCGCCGUCAUCUCCAGGCUCGAGCAUGAACGGCAAGGAUUAACCGACGGCGGCGGAGAACGGUGGCGGAGAACGGUGGUGGAGAACGGUGGCAUACGGCGGAGGAUUUCUGCCGGCGCGAUAAGAAAACCGAGUAAGAGAGGAGGCUUAGAGAUAUGUGGCAUAAGAUCCAAGGAGAAGACGAUUGGGCCGGGUUAACGACCCAAUGGACCCGGUUCUCAGACCGGAGCUGAACCGUUACGGCGAAAUGGCUCGGGCCUGUUAAGACGCCUUCGGCUGCGAUCCUUCCUCGAGAUACUGCAGCAACCCAUGUCGAGUGUAGUCUUCACUUUGGUCACACAUUGGGUCUGUUGAUUUUUGAAAGCAUUUGACCUUACAUUAGUUCUGUGUUUUGAUUUAGGGUGGCCUCUAAACCUAUAACGUCUCCAUUUAGAUUCGACGUGGUUGUUGGUUCGAUGAGGCUCUGAGAACUCAAGCACUGCUAUUGGAGGCAGGCUUUCUGAAUAUCUUUGGUCAGUGUCAAGUUUCUUGAUCUCUUAGGAUGCAGUUUUGAUACUUUUUUGCUAUGUACAGAGAAUCUUUAUAAGAUUACGUGUGUGAUUUAAGGUAUUGUAAGCUCCAGAGCGGUGUCUGUAUGGACCGGGUGAAUUAGAGACGGAAGUCUCAGGAAGUAGCUCUCGCUUUGUGGUUGGCUUCUUAUGUAACCGAGCUUCUGUUGUUUCCGUGUUCCCCUGUGAGGAGGGCUGUUGUGUUGAUGAGCUCUGGAGGUUGGAUAAUGCGCUGAGAUCAAGGUUUGGAAAAACCGAGCAACGGCACCGAGGACAUUUCACGUUCAAACACAGCCACUGGUCUAUGCACUCCACAUGGAAAUUAUGGGCGCAAGGAUGAGCCUAUUGAUAAGAGCAAGCACUAGGGUGAUUUGGAGGAAGAGGAACAAGAGGAUGAGAUGGAUGAAGAGGAACUAGAAGACGGCAUGGAAUCGUUUGAUACAUUGUCGAGACAUUGUUUUGCUUUAAACUCCAAGGUGUAUUUGUUUGCUUAUUAUAUACUGUAAUAUCUUUUUUUUUCCAUUAUUAUUAUUACUUUUUAUUAUAUACUAAUAUCCAAGUAUGAAACUGAACGUUUUUCCCUUUUUCAGCACUCCAACUGGCACAGAGACACCAAAUGCAAUUGAAGCAGAGAAAGGAUUCCGAUAGGCCUCUAUAUCAAGUAGGAAACCCAAUUUUAAUUGAUGUCGAGCAGUAUUUUACUGUUAGCUCUUAUUGGUUGGUUUUUAAUGCUGUUCUUUUAAAAAAAUUCUGAAGGUACUUGAAGAAUUGCUCCUGGAACAGUGUUCGGAACCACACACACAUACCUUAUUAAAACUGGUACUCAAGACAAGCCGGGAGCGAAAAGGGUAAGCAAUCUAUGUCGGACUUACCAAACAUUUGUUUACUAAAGGAAUUGGUAGGCACUUUAAGUAUGUCGUUGUCAAAUACUAAAUUGAUAGUUCAUGGUUGGUUGGAAAUGAGGCUAAAACUUUAGAAGUAAUUUGAUCUUUUGAAGUUGUUCGGUCAUGUAGACCGUGUUAGUUUUGUAUUGUCCAAGUCUUCUGUGUUUUUGAGAAUCAUUGGUAUUAGGUAUAGACGUUUAGUUAUGGUAGUGUAUUCUGACGCUUGCUAUAUGCAUUUAUUACAUCCUCGAUUUUCGGUUUGACUAAUAACAAGCGGCUAAUUUAUGCAAUUGUGUAAAUAUGACCAGGUUGAUUUGCUUUGAUUUGCUGAGAGGGGCAAAAGACAGAUAGUGUGGAUAUCAGUUUACAGCCAGAAGAGCUGGAGGCUAAUAAAUGCAUUUUUGAGUUCAAUAAGAAUAUAAAAGCUAUUGAAAAAUAGUGUUGUUAACUCUACCUACAUUUUUGAUUUUUUUGGAAGGUAUGAGGAGGCAAGAGAAGAGGAGAGAAACUACGCAAUAAGCCAGAGGACUUCAGUGACAUGGUCGCCGAGGUAAUGAUUGAACUUAAGAUAUAUAACUGUUUUAAUACCAUUGAUAUGCACAGAUGCAAGAAGUACAUCAGAUAUGGAUCAUGCAAGCAUGACAAAAGUCAGGGGAAGUAUCAGUAAGGCAGAUCCAUGAUGAUGAUAGAUUCUGAUAAAAGGCCAGUCUCUAUUCACUACUUCUCUUUGAUAAAUUCCAUUACAUCUACGUAGAAAGCCGCAUUGGUUCUCAGUGUCUCAUGGAUCCCAUUACACCUUGCACUUGAAAAGGAACAAAACAAAUUCAAGAAAUAAAGAAGAAGAGCAGAUUUUGUGUCAUGCUGUUUUGGCUGCUAAUCAUUUCAUGUGUAUGGGUGUGAGCAAGGAGUUGAAAAAAAAAACCAAAAUCUUCUACAACUUCAACUGGUGAUCUUGGAAUUGGGCUUGAACAGCUUCAACUAAUGUCAAAAGUUAAGAACAUUGCUUCUCUGCAGCUAUAUGGAGAGGAGCAAGCGAGUGGUUCAUCACAAUGCCAGUACGAAUAAGAAGUCAGAUCAGAAGAUUAUGUCUUUUUUGGGUCUCAGCUUUGUCUCUUCUUCCAUAAGAAGAUCAAAGAAAACAAUGGCCGUUGCACCAUUUAUCUCUGUAGUUUGGACUUGACAUAGCGCUUCAGAUAAAGGGAAUAGAGUUUUCAUAAAUCAUUAUUAUUUUUUCUCAAAUGAAAAAUAAGUUUUUGAAAUUAAGAUACAUAUAAAUGUAUGUUUUAAACUUUGUCAAAAUAUCAUAACAAAUACAUUUCUCUUUCCGUAAUUGUUAAACAGCGAUGUUGUUCAUGUUUCAUUUGCGGCUUCGUAUUUCCUUUCUUUUUGUAUUGUCUAAAUUUAUUCUUCCAAAAAAUCUUGGUUCGUACACUACUUUUUCUCUGUAUUUAUUUAGCAAAUUUUUAAUCCAUUCAUAAGCCUACCAUCAAAAAGUAGAAAUUAUUUACUCUAUUAUCUUCAAGAUUAUAAUUUAAAAAAAAAACAAAAAACAUACAGACAAUAUACAAAAAUUAAAAUACAGAUAAAAUAUUUAAUCUAUUUUCUAUUUCAAAAAGAUAUGUUACUUAAAUUUGCCGGUCUAAAAACCAGAUAGAUAUAAAUAACCAAUUCAAUGAUUUAAAAUUUGAAAUCACUUUUUUAAUUUCUUGAACAUAUACAUAAUUUAUAUAUUUUUAAAAUAUUGAACAUUAUUAUAUAAUAUUAUAUUUUACAAGUUUUUUAUUUGGUUUAUGUUUUAAAUUAUUAUCUUUUAUUAAACUUGAUAUUUCACCAUGAAAUGAAUAAAAAUAGUAUCAGUCCUGACACUAUAAUUCAACAAUCAACUCCAAAGAAAACUCCUAAACCUAUAAUAAUACUUUGAAGUGCAUUAUCAAACAAUUGUUAUUCCGAUGCAUUUACUUAUGAUGAUUUUUUUAUCAUUUUAAACUAUGUUAAAAGUCAUAUUUACAUAUAGUAUUAUCAAAUUUAUAAAAUAUAACAGAAAAUAACCUAAAAUAUUUUAUUUUUUAGUGAUAAGUACUAUUAUAUUUUCGCUUUACAUAAUAAAACAUAUUUUACGAAAAAACAAGACUCUGUCUAAUAAUAAAGAAAAAAUGAAAUUAAAUUCCCCAUUUUAUAUCAAUAAACCAAUCACAAAACAAUGAAAAUAUUAAGUUAAACUGGUCAAAUAAAAACAAAUCUCCCCAGUUUGAUGCAAUAAUUUACAUAUGAUAAAAUAUGAUUAAAUUUAAAAUAUAAAUUACCAUGAAAGUAUGUGAAAAUUAUUACUCGGUUCAAUAUUUGAAACAAAAAUUUAUUAUAACACCACUAUUGAUGUUGUUUGCAGCUUCAGAAUAUGACCAAAAUAAUACAAAUCAAAUCAUUUUGAGGCAUUAUUAAAAUCACACAAGAGUAUAAAAGAACAAAACUAAAUCAAAAAGCA